rnacentral:lncRNA from 1 species
UUCAGGAGGACACAUCAUACUCCUCCUAGAAUACGGUCUCUGGAGGCAGGAAAUGAGUAGACAAGAAAGCCAUGUGACAUAGGGCAGGCAGCUCUAAACCCAAAAGACAAAAAGUUAGGCAAUCUUCCAGAUCACCAAAACAGACAAAGAUGUUUGUUUACAAGAACUUCCUGAUAAAGCAGGCGAUGUGGCUUGGGUUCUUGUUUGGUUGUCUUUCCCCUUUCUGUAUGAAUCAAUACCGUAUUCACCUCAGUUCUUCUCCAUUUGUACAUUCUUAUUUAAACGCGGCUCAGACACAAUUGUUUGAAGCAGACCAUUCCAGGGGUUAGAAGAGAGGAACCCCAGGGACAAAGGAGGAACCUUCAGAAUUAGAUCAAGGGUGUCACAAGCAGUCCAAAAGUCUGGGUGGCACUUUAGGGGUAAAUGAAAACUGGCCCACAGAAAGCACUGAAUUUUACAAAUAAAAAUGCUAGCUCAUCCCCAUGUGGGGCAUGUGACAAAUGUGACAUUUGCAAUAUUAUGAAUCUAUGAAGGUCAAGUUUUGCUUUUCAUUUCUGAGGCUACUGACUACAAAGAGGGUUUUUUUUUUUCCUAUAAAAAUUCUUUGUGCAAAACCUUGAAGGCAACAGUACUGGAAAUGAUUUUUAAAACAGAACUCAAAUAAUAUGGUCUCCCAGGAAGUAGUUUUGAAUAAUAUACAAAGAAAAAACUGAAUUACGUUCGGAGCCUCCUCCAUAGAUGCUGUCCCUGAGGAGCUGAGCCCAGACCGCCUCUAGAGAGUGGGGGUUUCAUCCAAGAUAAACUCAGCCACCGUGGACCAAGUCCUGCAUCAGCCACCUGCCAGCUACAGCUCACGAUGGAUCUGAACAAACUCCUCAAAUUGGACAGAAAAAGUUUUGAACCUCAGUCAUUUUCGUCUCCCCGAGUUGAUGAAAACCCCAUGGCACAUCACUUCCGGAGCUGUUCUAUCCAAAGGAAGACAGGAUUCGUCUACCUAUGCUACAGGAACUCACCAUGGAAACAACAGAACCGAAGAAAAUUAAGCGGAACAAAGCAACAUUGCUGCGACUCCUCAACACAGGCAGCAACCGUUGAAGGAAAAAAAAUUUUUAAAUGGGCUUCAAAGAAUGUAAGGGCUGGAGAAUGCGGAGGAACGCUGAGAAACACUGUCUAUUGAUGAACUCUCAACCACCGUGCUGACCUGCACAAGAUGAAGCCAAGCCAAACCCCAGUGCGUAAAGGGAAGCCAUUGCCAACUGGUGAUUGUUGGAAGAAGGAGAACUGAUUUUCUUUAGGGAGGCAGACCCUGGGAAGCUACCUGAGCCAUUUGUGGAGGAAUCACCCUGUGCACGUAUUCGCAGCACUAAGUUGACUCAGUGAGUAUAAAAAGAAAAGCGCGUGGGGCGGAGAGGGGAAAGUGGUGCCUUGGGAGUCGGGCGGAGAGGAAGUAGAGCAGAAGGAACUCAGGGUAGAUUCGAUUCAAACUCACUUUAGGACACUUUAUGCUUUUCAGAAAGGUCAUUGAGGAAGACAAGAGAGCUGUUUAAAAUAUUGAUUGGAAAACAACUAUGAGUAUGGAAAGUUGCACUUCUAAAUCUAAACACACUUUCAAACUUUCCAAUGCCUUGAAAAGAGCUAGAUUGGCGAUCCUAAAAUGAAAAAUUAUCUUAAUGAGUUACAAAUUUAGAAAGAGAUUCUCCAGUUGUGUCUAAUUUAACUUGAUAGUUAAGUGUUCCAAAAAUAUAUCUUUAAAUUCCUGCUGCAAAAAUGUACAUAGUGAUGCUUAAAUUAAAAUGACUUUUAGAGUUAGGCACAUGCUACGUGUCUUCUUGGUCACCUUUCUCUUUCCUUUCUGUGUAUAACCAAUGGUUGGAUGAGUAUUGAUAAUUUUUUAACCAUAUUUCUUAUUUAAUUUAGUUGUUUAUAUUAAAGGAUAAUUUAAUUAACUCUUUGAAAUGUCUUACUCUUUUAUGAGUUAUAUUCUUUUGAAUUUUAUUUCAUUUACAUUAAGGUUUAGUAAUAGCUGAUUGACAAGGUUUAGAUGCUACUCUGGUAAUGGCAGAAAUAAAAUACAUUAUUUCAAAUAUUCAAAUGUCCCCCUUCUUGGGUUUUAUUUCUAAUUUAACAACACCAAAAGUUCAUCAUCUCCAACCUUUAAAAACAUGAAAAUUUGAGACAAAUGAUUAGAGAAAAGAUUUGACUGUGUAUUUAACAACAUACAACUGAUGCCGCCACUAAGACUGGGGAUUAGUGAGGACAGGGUUUGGUCCAGGAGACAGUGAUGGGGGAUUUGAGACCAGUUACUGUUGUGGAUGGCCCUGGGGCUAAUUAUAUUUGAUGUUAAUUCUGUUCUCCAGUGAGUAGCCUCUAACAAGCAAAGAGUCAACACUCAGGUGAUUUCCAGUAAACCUGCUUCCCACCUUAAUUUGUAAAAUAAAGGAGAGCUGAUGAUUGGGCAGAUAAAAGGGAAGGUGGUGGUGGAGAAAAUGGAAGAGGGAGAGGACGCAGAGGAGGAGGAAGAAGAAAAGCAGAGCAGAAGCACAUGGCCUGGAGAAACCGCAAGUUCUAAGGGGUCUCAUAAGCUGUAGAAGAUGGUAGUGUAACGGUAGAUCUGCCCAAUCUAGGCUCACAGCAUGUAUUCAUACUAAUUGUGUUGUGUUUUCCUUGCCGGGGUGUAUUUGGGAGGAGAUUUACCGCAACAGGUUACUGUAAAACAAGAUUCUUACUCAACUUCUCUAUCACAAGCAAUCUG